GCCAGCUCAUGCCAGUGUAAUUGGUGGUACUUGAGGAGAGGUUUUCUAGGUCUCCGUUUCUUUCAUGAGGAUGAAACACACCUGGUUAACCUUUUUUCCAGUAUCAGAUCCCACCUUGGAGGCCUUCUGGUCCAGACCUCAGCCUGUGGGAUGGGGUGCUGUGGACACGAAUAACUUGUUGCCCACAAGCCUGCCCUGUAUUUCUGAUUUUAGUUACCUAUUCCACUAACCAUCAGUAUCUUAUCCAUUCUCAGGAGUACUUCCCGAAGGAAUGCCCACCUAGAGGAAGACCAUGGUCCCCAAGAUAGCUCCAUGCCUGAAACACGCAGGGAGCAGUGCUGCUGUCCAGGAAGAAGCUGUGUGUCUGGAGGUGGCUCUUUUCUGCGAUCCUCAAGGAGAGGUUUCCUUCGUACACUCCAUCUUUUAUGACAAAUUACUCACACCAAAGGGCUUCCCAGCGGCUCAGCUGAUACUGAACCCACCUUCCAAUGCAGGAGAUACGCGAGAUGCAGGUUCCAUCCCCGAGUCAAGAAGAUCCCCCGGAGAUGGAAAUGGCAAGCUGCUCCAGUGGACAGAGGAGCCUGGCAGGCUGCAGCCCAUGGGGUCGCAAAGAGUUGGACAUGACUGAGCAUGCACACAUCAGGAGGCAUCCGCACCAACCUCUCUUCAGUGUCAAAUACCAGCUUGGAAGAUGUCCUGAACGACACGGAAGUUGUCAGCUCAAGUCCAGGGUGAAUGAGCCCACACAUCUGUUUUCUUGCUCUGCAUGGUGUAUCUGAUGCUGAUGCUCCUUUCGUAUCCUUUCCAGUAGGACUCCAUGGAGGUGAAGCCAGCCUUUGGGGAAGGAAGUGGUUCUUGGUCGGCUCUGGGUCACAGAGGUAGGUCUUCUGCCUUGUGUUUGUUUCAAUGGCAGUAGG
rnacentral:lncRNA from 1 species